AUUGAACGCUGUCGGCAGGCCUAACACAUGCAAGUCGAACGAGUGGCGGACGGGUGAGUAAUGUCUGGGAAACUGCCUGAUGGAGGGGGAUAACUACUGGAAACGGUAGCUAAUACCGCAUACCAUCGGAUGUGCCAAGAUGGGAUUGGCUAGUAGGUGGGGUAAAGGCUACCCUAGGCGACGAUCCCUAGCUGGUCUGAGAGGAUGACCAGCAACAAUGGAACGGAGAACCGGUCCAGACUCCGACGUGAGGCAGCAGUGGGGAAUAUUGCACAAUGGGCGCAAGCCUGAUGCAGCCAUGCCGCGUGUAUGAAGAAGGCCUGCGGGUUGUAAAGUACUUUCAGCGGGGAGGCGUUACCCGCAGAAGAAGCACCGGCUAACUCCGUGCCAGCAGCCGCGGUAAUUC
rnacentral:rRNA from 1 species